CCAGCAACAGCCAGUUUAGCUCUUUUAACAUGUCACAGUGGCCGGUAAAGUAAUUACAUUCUAGUACAAAGUGGCAGAACGAAUUAUAGAACGUAUUAAGUUUAUUAAGGUGGGUUUGCGGUGCGGGUGCAUACACUACAUCCCCAUAAUGAUUCACGACUGCUGUCCAUCCCUUCCCUCUCCUGUCCUUCACUGGCCAUCUCCGCAUAUAACACUACCCUUACAUCUGCCUUGAACGCUGCAGCACCUCUCCAAACAAGCACCUCAAGGAGGACCCGCCCCCAACCAUGGCAUACUAAAUCAAC